rnacentral:rRNA from 1 species
UGCAAACUGCGAAUACCGGAGAAUGUUAUCACGGGAGACACACGGCGGGUGCUAACGUCCGUCGUGAAGAGGGAAACAACCCAGACCGCCAGCUAAGGUCCCAAAGUCAUGGUUAAGUGGGAAACGAUGUGGGAAGGCCCAGACAGCCAGGAUGUUGGCUUAGAAGCAGCCAUCAUUUAAAGAAAGCGUAAUAGCUCACUGGUCGAGUCGGCCUGCGCGGAAGAUGUAACGGGGCUAAACCAUGCACCGAAGCUGCGGCAGCGACACUAUGUGUUGUUGGGUAGGGGAGCGUUCUGUAAGCCUGUGAAGGUGUACUGUGAGGUAUGCUGGAGGUAUCAGAAGUGCGAAUGCUGACAUAAGUAACGAUAAAGCGGGUGAAAAGCCCGCUCGCCGGAAGACCAAGGGUUCCUGUCCAACGUUAAUCGGGGCAGGGUGAGUCGACCCCUAAGGCGAGGCCGAAAGGCGUAGUCGAUGGGAAACAGGUUAAUAUUCCUGUACUUGGUGUUACUGCGAAGGGGGGACGGAGAAGGCUAUGUUGGCCGGGCGACGGUUGUCCCGGUUUAAGCGUGUAGGCUGGUUUUCCAGGCAAAUCC